GUUUGGAAAGAGAGGUGGCAGAAGGGUCAGAACCUUGGUGAGACAACUCCUUCCCCACCCACGCACUUGGAGGCACACAAAACGACAGACACAGAUAAAUCAAGACAAACAGGCAGAGAUGGAAAUAGAGAUGAAACGAUGGUUGGCAGAGUCAAUCACAGUUGAACAAUUUUUGGAGGCUUACUGGAAGCAGAGAGCCAUGCUAUGGACCACAGAGCAGCCAAUGUGUAUUACAAGCAAGGAACAGCAUGCAAGGGCACUCACUGCAUCCCAAGAGAAGUUGACUGAGAGAAGCCUCUUGUAUAUCUUUUGAAAAAUGUCUUUUCAUGGAGGAUGUGCAUUUUGGGAUGGAGCUAGAAGAUAACUAAACAAAAUCUGGCUUGAAGGGCGAGGAUGUGUUUCAAAAGGAGAGAACAGCACAAUCAAACCCCUGGAGGCAGGAAAGAAGAGGAAACACUCAGGGGAUGGUGAGUAUUAGAUGAGUCUGCAGGGAGAUUCAUUUGCAGGGGUCAGACCAGGGGUCACCA
rnacentral:lncRNA from 1 species